rnacentral:rRNA from 1 species
GUUAGCACAAUUUGCAUAAGUUCGCUUACUCCUUCCCAUUCCGAACAGGACAGUUAAGGUCUAUAGCGCCGAUGGUACUGCAUGGGAGACUGUGUGGAAGAGUAGGACGUCGCCAGGU